rnacentral:rRNA from 1 species
GGACUACCGGGGUAUCUAAUCCUGUUCGCUCCCCACGCUUUCGCGCUUCAGCGUCAGUAUUAAGCCAGGUGCCUGCCUUCGCCAUCGACGUUCCUUCCGAUCUCUACGCAUUUCACCGCUACACCGGAAAUUCCGACACCCUCUCUUAUACUCUAGCUAUAUAGUUUGCGAUGCACUUCCCAGGUUAAGCCCAGGGCUUUCACAUCACACCCUUAUAACCGCCUACGCGCCCUUUACGCCCAGUAAUUCCGAUUAACGCUCGCACCCUCUGUAUUACCGCGGCUGCUGGCAC